CGGACGGGUGAGUAAUGUAUGGGGAUCUGCCUGAUGGCGGGGGAUAACUACUGGAAACGGUAGCUAAUACCGCAUAAUGUCUACGGACCAAAGCGGGGGACCUCCGGGCCUCGCGCCAUCAGAUGAACCCAUAUGGGAUUAGCUAGUAGGUGGGGUAACGGCUUACCUAGGCGACGAUCCCUAGCUGGUCUGAGAGGAUGACCAGCCACACUGGAACUGAGACACGGUCCAG
rnacentral:rRNA from 1 species